AUCGAACGCUGGCGGCAGGCCUAACACAUGCAAGUCGAACGGUAGCACAGAGAGCUUGCUCUCGGGUGACGAGUGGCGGACGGGUGAGUAACGUCUGGGAAACUGCCCGAUGGAGGGGGGUAACUACUGGAAACGGUAGCUAAUACCGCAUAACGUCGCAAGACCAAAGUGGGGGACCUUCGGGCCUCACACCAUCGGAUGUGCCCAGAUGGGAUUAGCUAGUAGGUGGGGUAAUGGCUCACCUAGGCGACGAUCCCUAGCUGGUCUGAGAGGAUGACCAGCCACACUGGAACUGAGACACGGUCCAGACUCCUACGGGAGGCAGCAGUGGGGAAUAUUGCACAAUGGGCGCAAGCCUGAUGCAGCCAUGCCGCGUGUAUGAAGAAGGCCUUCGGGUUGUAAAGUACUUUCAGCGGGGAGGAAGGCGGUGAAGUUAAUAACUUCACCGAUUGACGUUACCCGCAGAAGAAGCACCGGCUAACUCCGUGCCAGCAGCCGCAGUAAAAC
rnacentral:rRNA from 1 species